rnacentral:rRNA from 1 species
CUGGUUGAUCCUGCCGGACCCGACUGCUAUCAGAGUGAGAUUAAGCCAUGCGAGUCAACGUAGCAAUACGUGGCAUACGGCUCAGUAACACGUAGUCAACAUAACCAAAGGACGUGGAUAAACUCGGGGAACUGAGGCUAAACCGCGAUAGUUCAAGAUACCUGGAAUGGUUUUUGAUCAAAAUCUAUAUGGCCUUAGGAUGAGUCUGCGGCCUAUCAGGUUGUAGUGGGUGUAACGGACCCCCUAGCCUUCGACGGGUACGGGCUUUGAGAGAAGUUGCCCGGAGAUGGGUUCUGAGACACGAACCCAGGCCCCACGGGGCGCAGCAGUUACGAAAACUUGGCAAUGCGGGAAACCGCGACCAGGGGACUCCAAGUGCUAAUACUUUGUAUUAGCUGUUCUUUUGUCUAAAAAACAAGAGAAGUAAGGGCUGGGUAAGACGGGUGCCAGCCGCCGCGGUAAUACCCGCAGCCCGAGUGGUGGUCAUUAUUAUUGAGCCUAAAGCGUCCGUAGCCGGACUCGUAAAUCCUUGGGUAAAUCGGGCAGCUCAACUGUCCGAAUUCCGAGGAGACUGCGAGUCUUGGGACCGGGAGAGGUUAGAGGUACUCCAGGGGUAAGGGCUAAAUCUUGUAAUCCUUGGGGGACCACCAGUGGCGAAGGCGUCUAACUAGAACGGAUCCGACGGUAAGGGACGAAACCCUGGGGCGCAAACGGGAUUAGAUACCCCGGUAGUCCAGGGCUUAAACGCUGCAGAUUUGGUGUCGGGGGUCCUACGAGGGCACCCGGUGCCGGAGAGAAGUUGUUAAAUCUGCCGCUUGGGGAGUACGGUCGCAAGACUGAAACUUAAAGGAAUUGGCGGGAGAGCACCGCAACGGGAGGAGCGUGCGGUUCAAUUGGAUUCAACGCCGGG